rnacentral:rRNA from 1 species
UACAGAGGUCCCAAGCGUUGUUCGGAAUUACUGGGCGUAAAGCGCGUGUAGGCGGCUUGGCAAGUCGGGUGUGAAAGCCCUGGGCUCAACCUGGGAAUGGCAGUGGAUACUGGCGAGCUAGAGUGUGAUAGAGGAUGGUGGAAUUCCCGGUGUAGCGGUGAAAUGCGUAGAGAUCGGGAGGAACACCAGUGGCGAAGGCGGCCAUCUGGAUCAACACUGACGCUGAGGCACGAAAGCGUGGGGAGCAAACAGG